rnacentral:misc_RNA from 1 species
UGUUUGGUUGCUGAGAUAACUCAGGGAAGGGAAAAGAAAAUAGGAAGGCAAAAUGCUGAUUCUGAUUUUAGGCCUAGUUGAGAAAUCAUAAAAUAAAAGAAUAUUAAAAAAGAAAUGAUUGGGCAUGCCCCUGUAGAUUUGCCAUUCAAGGGUGAUGUUUUGGAAUCCUCAAGUAUGGAAAAUUAAUGCCAGUAGCAUUUCUGGAUCAUACAGAUUGUAAAAUAUCUCACUAAACUAUUAGACGAAGACAAAGUGAAUGCAGCCUUUCAAAUGUAACUAAUAGUUGACCUGCAUUUUUCUUCCAGUGUUAUAUGUUUCUAUUCUAGGAAUUUUGAUAUCUAGCUGUUCUUUUUCCCUGACAUCUUAUUAUAAAUGGUUUAAAUAUGUAGGCCAACAUACAAAGUAAGGUUACAUUUAGAUGUGGAAUAAUUAUGAACAUACUUGUGUUAUUUUAUGAUUUAAUUUCUGUCUAUUAUCUUUCUACCAUCUCUCUUUUUUUCUCUCUAUUUAUUUUACGUUUUUAAUUCACCAAUUAGAAAACUGAACGUUAAAACUGUAAUUGAAUGUUCCAUAUUUGAUAUCAAGAUUUUCCCUUUGUCAUGAGUUUCUUUGUCGGUUUUUCUGUCAAGCUUUAAAUGGUUAUGUUGUGUUUGUAUGACAUUCUAGUUUGUUUCUAGAUCAUGCUCAUAAUCUGAUGUAUACUUUUUUUAGGGUGCCCCAGGAUCUUGUGGCAACUGGUGGGUAGUUUUCUCUUUUCAAAUGGGUAAAUGGAGAGUUGCACUUGUCUUCAACUAUUUUUGUCAUCAGAUUUACUUCUCUCUUCUUGUUAUAGUUUUGAAUUUUCAAAUGUUCUUUGCAAUGGUGUAUUCCAGAUCCUUUAUGAUUUUCUAUGAGGAAAACUUGUGUGAAUCAAAUUUUCACAUUUUGGAACCAUUGUAAUUUCGGGUUCGAGAAACUAUAUUUCCUUUUGUUUCCUCAUUUGAACAACAUAAUUUUUUUAUUAUUGCACUUCAUUUUAGAGAUUGUAUAUUUGGGAUUUGAUCUUCUGGGCUAUGAUUAAAUUUCUGGGGAACUUCUCGGAGUCAUAUACAAGAUUAACCUGUACAGAGCUUUCUGAUGGAAUUUUGAACUAUGACUUUAACAUGUGAAUUUUUCCUAACUCUUAUUUUUACUGUUACAAAUAAAUAGAGAACCAACUGAAGGCUUUGAAAGAGAAGGCAAAAGAACCACCAGCACGAGAGCCAGAAUCAGAUUCAACCAGUGGAAAAACCUUUAUAGAUGCUGGUGCUUUUAGAAAGCGUUCUCACAUCAAUGGGGAGAGACAAUAUGUUUGUCACUAUGAAGGAUGUGGAAAGAAAUUUUCAGAUAGUUCAAAGUUGAAGAGGCAUAUCUUAAUUCAUACAGGAGAAAGAGAUUUUGUGUGCCCUCAUGAAGGCUGUGGUAAGUGAUCAAUCAUUUUACCCUUACUAUUUUUUCUCUUAUUUUCUUUCUGACUCUUUUUUUCUUCAUUACUUGCAUAUUACCAAGAAAUCUGAUGAUGAGAUUCUAUGGUUAAAUGCUUCUAUUAGCAUGGACUAAAUAGUGUUUUUAGUGCUUCUGAUUUAAUUCUUCUGGUGUUUAUGCAAUUCAGGUUUUGCUAUUGGUUACACUUGUUGGCCAGAAUUGUUGCUUCUCCACAUUGUGAUCCUAUAUGCUUGAAAUUGUUCUGUUUCUUAUAUUUAUCAAUAUCUCUUGUUCUUCUUAUAUUUCAUAAUCAGAACUAAAACUGUCCAACUUAGAAUAUUGCAUGUGGAAGUUAUCUAGGCUGCAGGUGGGUGGGACUGGGGGAGUGAGUUUCAAUAAAUAGAUUCAUAUAAUACAUGAUUGGGAACUUGAAAGGAAAUAUAUGCUUCAGGUUAUACAUGAAUCUCAAGUGGACAGGAAACCAUUGUUUUUGUUCGCUGAAUGAGGCUAUGUGAGAGUUCUAACGUGAAAUUUGCUUUUAAACCGAGUAUCACAGCCCUGUAUCUAGCAUAAUUCCAAAUUGAAAUAGUUCAUGUACAUAAAAUCCGAAUAUAUUAGGCUGACUUUCGACUAGAAUAACAUAAUCACAAGAUGAGCAAAAGACAUAUAUAACCUGAAGUUUAAAACUGCUACAGCAGCAUGAUCUGUGAUGUGCUACAAUGUGUGAACAGUAAAACGAUUCUAAACUUGCUCCUGCAUCAUGAUAACUGACAAUUAGUCUUGUUUGCACUUAUGUGUGAUAUAUUCAUUUUGUUUUUCCAAUUUUGGUUAUGGAAACUGCAGGCAUUUUCGCUGGAUUUCAACCUAAGGUCACACAUGAAAACACAUUCACAAGAAAACUACCAUUUCUGUCCAUACCCAGAAUGUGGAAAGAGAUAUGCUCAUGAGUACAAACCGAAGAACCAUUUGUCAGCUCACCAUGAAAAGGUUUGUUUUGUUCUUUUCACCAGUAGCGUUUGCUCUUUUAAUUUAAAUAUCAUUGUACAUUGUCCCUAAUAUUUGAUACACAUUGAUCUUUUAAAUGGAUAAUGAGACGAUUCAGGAGGUUGAUGUAGUCGUCAGCCAUAACAAAUUAUUUUAAGUGCUCAUUUCUUGGAGUCUUGUCUUAUAAUACUGUAUAUAGUGCAUCUAAUAUUCAUACUUCUAUAGUUUGUAAUUGAUCGUGUUGUCUGAAUGGGAUUUUGAUAUGAGCAGUGUUGAUGUGUCAGGAAUGAUGGGCCGAAAUCAAAACCCUUUGAGAGUCUACUAUAGAAAGAAUUAUAAGAAGAAUGAUUCUAGGAGAGGACAGCUGGAAGGGAAUCAAAUGGAGGAUAUGCAGUAGGAAUUUGCGGGGGGCACUCCACAUGGCCCUUGAAUCAAUAUUGCAGCACCUCUCCAGCUAUAAAUAGGAGUUUAUCAGCUGAUACAACUAGCAUUUGGGAUUUUCUUGUAUUUCGGCAAUAGCUGGGCUAGCUUGAGCUAAUUUGGGAUUUUCUCCCGUCUUUGUUAUUUUUUCUUUGUUUUCUGUUUUCUAAAAGAGGGAAGAGUCAUUGUAGUGCUGAGAUUAUAUCAUUGUAAUUUGGAUAUUACAGUGUAGCACGGUAGAUUACAAUACUUAUCAGAUUUCUCUUAUCAGAUUUCUCAUGAUUGACUGUAAAGCAUUUUAGAUUACAAUACUUAACAGUGUAGCACGGUAUUACUGUAUAAUUUGUAUGGGUGCACCUGCUUUCUUUUUUUUACAUGUAGUGUCCCAACUUCAGUAGAG